rnacentral:rRNA from 1 species
GACGAACGCUGGCGGCGUGCUUAACACAUGCAAGUCGAACGGAAAGGCCCUGCUUUUGUGGGGUGCUCGAGUGGCGAACGGGUGAGUAACACGUGAGUAACCUGCCCUUGACUUUGGGAUAACUUCAGGAAACUGGGGCUAAUACCGGAUAGGAGCUCCUGCUGCAUGGUGGGGGUUGGAAAGUUUCGGCGGUUGGGGAUGGACUCGCGGCUUAUCAGCUUGUUGGUAGGGUAGUGGCUUACCAAGGCUUUGACGGGUAGCCGGCCUGAGAGGGUGACCGGCCACAGUGGGACUGAGAUACGGCCCAGACUCCUACGGGAGGCAGCAGUGGGGAAUAUUGCACAAUGGGCGGAAGCCUGAUGCAGCAACGCCGCGUGCGGGAUGACGGCCUUCGGGUUGUAAACCGCUUUCGCCUGUGACGAAGCGUGAGUGACGGUAAUGGGUAAAGAAGCACCGGCUAACUACGUG